GCCAGGCUGGUCUCAAACUCCUGACCUCAGGUGAUCUGCCCGCCUCAGCCUCCCAAAGUGUUGGAAUCACAGGCGUGAGCCACCACACCCAGCCUAGUUUUAAAAAUUAGAAAGAAUGUUAUUCAGGAUGCCUAUGGAGGGCAUCCUUGUGUUGCUGUGUUGCUACUAUGCCUCCUCAGUCCAUUAUCAUAACCAGAAAUCAGUACGAAUUCAGAUAGCACAUCAAACAAAAAACAAAGUUCCUUUUCUUGUAUUUUAUUUCCCUUUCUUAUGUUAAACUUUCUCCCAGGAAAUGUUAUGUACCCCAGGAGGAUACAUUGACGGGAUUUCUAGGUAACCCACAGUGUGUACGUGCAUGUUGCUUAUGCAUGGGUGCAUACGUAUAUCCGUUUUGGGGAUGAAUGAUCCAGUGUUAUUCCAGAACUAUCACCCCCUUCUUUUAGCCAGGCUUGCAUCAGGGGGAUGGAACAAGUAAGAUCUAGAACAUAAAUGGGGAGUGGCCUCUGAAGAAAUCUAGUCACUUCCGACAUGGGAAGGAAUUGUGUUGCCCAACUGAAACCUAAGAGGCCACAUCCGUACCUCUCCCUUGGUUCCCAUACUGUAAACAACAUGGCUGUCUUCCUGAAAGACCUGGCUUUGCUCCAGCUUUAAAGGUCAGUGAGGGGCCCGAAGGAACCUUGUAUGUGAGAUCUGGAAGGUGGAAGUGGAGCAGCAGCUACAUUCUGUUUCAGCUCAGGAAGUUAAGGUGGCAGGAGUGGAAUCUUGGAUUCACCACACCCGAGUUAAAUUUUGGAUAUCCCCUGAGGAACCUGUGGGACCAUCAGCUCAGGAGUCCCAAGAUCAGCCAGACCAACCUCAAUACACCUGAGAACCAUUGGAGGACUUGCGUCUCCUGUUUUGGAAGGAAACAUCCCAGACUAAAAAGGCUCCUACCACUGAUCCUGAAGAAAAACCCCUUCCUCCUUAAAAAAGAUAAGUGAAAACCUACAUAAUCUUUAACGCCUCUCCUUGCUCCUUUAAUGGAAUCCUUUUACUAUUUCAUCAUAUUAUUAAACAGCAUAAUAACCAUACUCUUCAUGAUAGGACUAUAUACUGUAGCUCCUGCCAGGACGACAAUAAAAUAGAACACAGGGAGUCACUCUGUUUGCUCCCAACACCCCUUUCCAGACACUCACCAGAGUUAGCUUGCCAAGUACUCUAGAAGUAUGAAAAAAUGAAAACAACAAACUUACAUGCUUUUUUAACAUACACAACCAGUUCUUUCUACCCAGUCAAAUUAUAUUCUUCUUAUGUGGAACAUUGACCUAUAUCUGCCUCUCCACUAACUGGACAGGCACCUGCACCUUAGCCUUUCUAAGUUCCAACAUUAACAUUGCCCCAGGAAAUCAGACCCUAUCAGUACCCCUCAAAGCUCAAGUCCGUCAGUGCAAAGCCAUAUGACUAAUACCCCUAUUUAUAGGGUUAGGAAAGGCUACUGCUACAGGAACUGGAAUAGUCAGUUUAUCUACUUCAUUAUCCUACUACCACACACUCUCAAAGAAUUUCUCAGACAGUUUACAAGAAAUAACAAAAUCUAUCCUUACUCUACAAUCCCAAAUAGACUCUUUGGCAACAGUGACUUUCCAAAACUGCCGAGGCCUAGACCUCCUCACUGCUGAGAAAGGAGGACUCUGCAUCUUCUUAGGGGAAGAGUGUUGUUUUCACACUAACCAGUCAGGGAUAGUAUGAGAUACUGCCUGGCAUUUGCAGAAAAAGGCUUCUGAAAUCAGACAACGCCUGUCAAACUCUUAUAACAACCUCUGGAGUGGGGCAACAUGACUUCUCCCCUUUCUAGGUCUGGUGGCAGCCAUCUUGCUAUUACUCGCCUUUGGGCCCUGUAUUUUUAACCUCCUUGUCAAAUUUGUUUCCUCUAGGAUCGAAGCCAUCAAGCUGCAGAUGGUCUUACAAAUGGAACCCCAAAUGAGCUCAACUAACAACUUCUAUCAAGGACCCCUGGACCGACCAGCUGGCCCUUUCACUGCCCUAAAGAAUUCCCCUCUGGAGGACACUACAACUGCAGGGCCCCUUCUUCGCCCCAUCCAGCAGGAAGUAGCUAGAGUGGUCAUCACCCAAUUCCAAACAGCAGUUGAGGUGUCCUGUUUAGAGGGGGCAUUGAGAGGUGAAGCUGGCUGGGCUUCUGGGUUGGGUGGGGACUUGGAGAACUUUUCUGUCUAGCUAAAGGAUU